rnacentral:rRNA from 1 species
CGGGGGGAGCAAGCGUUGUUCGGAUUACUGGCGUGAAGGGCGCGUAGGCGGCCACCGCAAGUCGACUGUGAAAUCUCCGGGCUUAACCCGGAAAGGUCAGCCGAUACUGCGGGGCUAGAGUGCAGAAGGGGCAACUGGAAUUCUCGGUGUAGCGGUGAAAUGCGUAGAUAUCGAGAGGAACACCUGCGGCGAAGGCGGGUUGCUGGGCUGACACUGACGCUGAUGCGCGAAAGCUAGGGGAGCGAACGGGAUUAGAUACCCCGGUAGUCCUAGCCUUAAACGAUGAAUGCUUGGUGUCUGGGGUUUUAUAGUCCCCGGGUGCCGUCGCUAACGCUUUAAGCAUUCCGCCUGGGGAGUACGGUCGCAAGACUG